rnacentral:rRNA from 1 species
AUACGUAGGGGGCUAAGCGUUAUCCGGAAUUACUGGGUGUAAAGGGAGCGUAGGCGGGAAUGCAAGUUGAAUGUUAAAACUAUGGGCUUAACCCAUAUCUGCGUUCAAAACUGUAUUUCUUGAGUGAAGUAGAGGUAGGCGGAAUUCCUAGUGUAGCGGUGAAAUGCGUAAAUAUUAGGAGGAACACCAGUGGCGAAGGCGGCCUACUGGGCUUUAACUGACGCUGAGGCUCGAAAGCGUGGGUAGC